rnacentral:rRNA from 1 species
CCUACGGGGGGCAGCAGUGAGGAAUAUUGGUCAAUGGCCGGAAGGCUGAACCAGCCACGCCGCGUGAAGGUCAGUGCCCUAUGGGAGUUAAACUUCUUUUGUGCGGGAGCAAUAAUGGUCACGUGUGGCCAGACGAGAGUGCCGUACGAAUAAGCAUCGGCUAACUCCGUGCCAGCAGCCGCGGUAAUAUGGGGGAUGCAAGCGUUAUCCGGAUUUAUUGGGUUUAAAGGGUGCGUAGGCUGUGAGGUAAGUCAGAGGUGAAAUGCCCCCGCUCAACGGGGUGAAGUGCCAUUGAUAAUGCCUGGCUGGAGUGCGGAUGCCGGGGGAGGAAUGUGUGGUGUAGCGGUGAAAUGCAUAGAUAUCA